GCCUUGAACAUCCAAUCCGCCAAACGGGUAGUGCAGAAAGAAUUCAUCACCUACUUCAAGAAGCACCGAGACGAAAAACUCAGACCAGCAUCCUAAAAAAGAAAAAGGAAGGAAAGUUGAAGAACACACCAAGGCCAUACUUGCUUUCUUCAAAAUGCUUCACUUUUGUUCAAGAAAUAUAUGGGUGACCACCUAGUAGAUCUUCAAUUAAGAUAUCCUACACCAUGUCCACUUCAACAAGAAGGUAACAGCACCUUGCUCUUCUCUACUUGAGUUCAAGUGUUCCUUUCUACCCUGCCCCAUAAGCAGCGACAUCAAUAAGGUUGUGAAUUGGAGGAAUUUUAGAUUAAACACUAGAUUGAGUGGUCGUUAUGGUUGGGUUGAUUUGUCAUGCAGCAUUGAGUUGAAUUAUUUUGGAAAUAUUAAAAUAAAAAUGAAUAAAUAUAAAUAAAUUUGAUUAAAGAAUCAAUGGAAAAGUAUAUAUAACAUUAAAGAAAGUGGGUCUGCUUUAGAUAGCAGUCAUAUAUAAUUCUAUAGUUUGGUAUUCAUGGUGAGUCAGCUGCUCUAGAAUGGCUGGCGGGAAAGCAUUCAACGGUUCUUAUGCUUGGGUUGUCACUAGAAGCAA